CCUACGGGUGGCAGCAAUUAGGAAUCUUGCGCAAUGAGCGAAAGCUUGACGCAGCGACGCCGCGUGGAGGAGGACGGCCUUCGGGUUGUAAACUCCUUUUGAGGGGGAAGAAGACCGUGACGGUACCCCUCGAAGAAGCCCCGGCUAACUCCGUGCCAGCAGCCGCGGUAAUACGGAGGGGGCGAGCGUUGUCCGAAGUUACUGGGCGUAAAGGGCGCGUAGGCGGGAGCCUAAGUCCGCUGUGAAAUACCGGGGCUCAACCCCGGUCGGUCGGUGGAGACUGGGCUUCUUGAAAGGGCGAGGGGGAGAUGGAAUUACCGGUGUAGCGGUGAAAUGCGUAGAUAUCGGUAGGAACACCAGUGGCGAAGGCGGUCUCCUGGGGCCUGUUUGACGCUGAGACACGAAAGCGUGGGGAGCAAACAGGAUUAGAUACCCGAGUAGUC
rnacentral:rRNA from 1 species